CGUGUAGGCGGCUAGGUAGGUCCGUUGUGAAAACUCGAGGCUCAACCUCGAGACGUCGAUGGAAACCAUCUAGCUAGAGUCCGGAAGAGGAGAGUGGAAUUCCUGGUGUAGCGGUGAAAUGCGCAGAUAUCAGGAAGAACACCCGUGGCGAAGGCGGCUCUCUGGUACGUGACUGACGCUGAGACGCGAAAGCGUGGGGAGCGAACA
rnacentral:rRNA from 1 species